UAAUUAUUAUAUUAUUUUUAUUUGUUUAAUUUAUAAUUGAAUUUUCUUUUAUUUUAAGUAAUUUUUUGAAUUAAUUUUUUUAAUUAUAGUUUAAUUGUACUGUUAAGGUUUUAUUUUAUUCAUUUAUUUAUUUUAUUUUAAGUAGAUUAAUUUAUUGUACCUUUUGUAUCAGGGUUGAUAAAUUUUUAAUAAUUAUUUAUUUUUCUCGAAAUUAAUUGAUUUAAUUCAAUAUGUUUAUUAAUGUUUUAUAAUUAAAUAUUAUUUUGAAUUAGUUGUUAAAUGCUAUACGUAAUUAAUGAUAUCUAGUUUUUUUGGAAAUGAAUUUAAUUCAUAAUUAUUUAUUUACUAAUAAUUUUUAUUUUUUUUUAUUUAUUUAAUUAAAUAUUAAGGGGGAUUAGCUCUUUAAUUAUUUAUAAUUUAAUUUUUUUUAUGUUGUAUAGGUUUUAUAAUAUCCAUUACAUAUUAGUAUGUUAUUAUUUAAUAUUUUUUUCUUUUAAUUUUUUUAAAAUUUAAUUAUUUACUUAAACUUUUUAAUUAACUUUUAAUUAUUUUUGAUAAUUAUUUAAUUAGUAUAUAUUUUUAUUAAUUUUAUUUAUUAUUUAAAAUUUUAUAAAGGAACUAGGCAAAAUUUAUUUAUUCACCUGUUUAUCAAAAACAUCUUUUCUUGGAAAUUAUAUGAAAUAUAACCUGCCCAAUGAUUAUUAAAUGGCCGCGGUAUUUUGACCGUGCAAAGGUAGCAUAAUCAUUAGUUUAUUAAUUGUGGACUUGUAUGAAUGGUUAAAUGAAAUAUUAACUGUCUCUAUUUAAUUUUUAAAACUUAAUUUUUUAGUUAAAAAGCUAAAAUUAUUUUAUAGGACGAGAAGACCCUAUAGAUCUUUAUUAUAUAAUUAAUUUAAUUUUUUAGAUUUUUAUUUUUAUUUUAUUUUUAUAGUUUUGUUGGGGUGACAAUUAGAUAUAAUUAACUCUUAUUUAUUUUUUCAAUUAUUUUUGUUAUGAUAAUUUUUCAAUGUUUUAUAAAGAAUUAGAUACCUUAGGGAUAACAGCGUAAUUUAAUUUGAGAGUUCAUAUUGACAAUUAAGAUUGCGACCUCGAUGUUGGAUUAAGAAAAAUUUUUGAUGCAGAAGUUAAAAUUUUAGGUCUGUUCGACCUUUAAAUUCUUACAUGAUCUGAGUUCAAACCGGCGUGAGCCAGGUUGGUUUCUAUCCUUAAUAUUUUUAUUUAAAUUAGUACGAAAGGACCAUUUAAAUUAAAUAUUUUAUUUUAUUUAAUUUAUUU
rnacentral:rRNA from 1 species